UGACAGCAUUUCUGAUCUUCUAGGCAGC
rnacentral:piRNA from 1 species